ACGAUUGGUCGGUUCGAAUUUACCGCGUUCACGUUCUAUCGCGAACGUUCAAAGACGUGCCAUAUUCUCAGAGGUUAGACACUCUAUAAACUACCGUUUCAAAUAAAUGGGUGACCACGAGUCUCUAACACUCGGUAAAUGUAUUCCGAAAUGACAUAAUUUGUCCGCAACCAAUAGCCACUCGUUUUGGUAUCAAUAUACUGUAAUUACGGACAUUUUCAUAAAUCGAUAAACCAAACGUAUAAAGUUGAUUAACGAAACCGUUUCCUUAGGACCAUAUUUCCGAUCACAGGUCAAUAAUCGAAAAUCAAUUAGCUAACCCUAUAUCUAUUCUAUAUUGUUUGUUGAUAUUGUUGCUGUUGUCAUUAUAGUGGUUUAUAGUAAAUUGAUACUUUGUCUCGGAUUAAUUGGCCACUUUCGUUCGCUCAUGUCAAAAAUAACUUUCCAUUCAUUGUGCAAAACUCAUUUGUGCGUUUCCUAACGACGUGUUCUGUGACCGUCCUGGUAUCAAACCCGAGACAAUAUUGGUCGUAUGCGAAUACUGGUGUCAGCCCACUGCAGAAACAUGUUUCGUAUAGAUUUAUUGAUAUCUUGUAAGAAUAAGCAGAACAUUAUAACACGACAUUUCUGCACGCAGAUUCGAAC